UUUGUCCACCAGGAUGGAUCAUAUUUAAAAAGUUAUGCUAUAAAUUUUUUGAAAAUUAUAAAAACUGGGAUGAUGCAAAGAGUGAAUGUGGAAAAGAAAACGCAAUCCUUGCCGAACCAGAUACUACAACAGAAAUAGACUUUCUUAAACAUUUGGCUGGGAUACCUGAUGCAGGCUGUCGCGAAAACUUUUGGAUUGGUGGAAAAGAUCCCAAUCCACCAUCAAAAGACUUUCUUUGGACCUCAAGAGGUGUAAGAGUAAAAAUUGGAGCUACUGAUUGGGAAAUGGGUGAACCGAAUGACUUUCAAGGCAUACCUGAAAACUGCAUGCAAAUGCGUGCAAAUUUUGAUCAUAAUUGGAACGACAGUACCUGUGACAGCAC